rnacentral:rRNA from 1 species
ACGAGUUUGAUCAUGGCUCAGGAUAAACGCUGGCGGCGUGCCUAACACAUGCAAGUCGAACGAUCCCGCAAGGGAGAGUGGCGGAAGGGUGAGUAACACGUGGGAAUCUACCUCCUCGCAGGGAACAACCUCUCGAAAGAGAGGCUAAUACCCAAAAGGGUCAGAAAUGAUCAGAGUCGAAAGGCGUGAGGAGAGGAGCCCGCGGCCCAUCAGCUAGUUGGUGAGGUAAUGGCUUACCAAGGCUACGACGGGUAGGGGAUCUGAGAGGAUGUCCCCCCACACUGGAACUGAAACACGGUCCAGACGCCUACGGGUGGCAGCAGUGAGGAAUAUUGGACAAUGGGCGAAAGCCCGAUCCAGCAACGCCGCGUGGAGGAUGAAGGCCUUCGGGUCGUAAACUUCUUUAGAGGGAGACGAGAAAGGACGGUAUCCCUAGAAUAAGCGACGGCAAACUACGUG